GCGUGAUGCCGAUCUCCGACGACGUCGUUCGUCCAACAAGGCGGUGCUUCUUGCAGAAAUCAAAAGCGAGGCCUCCGAUGGUUGCGUUAGCGAGAGCAUUCUGGAGAAUCUGGAAAGGACUCAAAGGAAUGCGAUUCCGGAGUCAAUGAGAGCAGCGUACUGUAUGGUGGCAUUAGAAUGCACGGUGAAAUUCCUGGUGAGCAGUGGGGGAAAGCCUCGGGAAAAGUACUCCAAGGCGUUGAAUCAUAUUUGGGGAGGGGAAGGGAGAAUCGGACGGUUGGAGAGGCUUGGGAGGAGUCAACUCCUGUCGGACGGGCUCAAGAAGCGCCGCGACGAGCUUAACUCUGUUUUCGAGGACGAGGAUGUUUGUAGAAAGCUUUGUAGAAUGAAUACCAGGAACGAUGCUUUGUCGCGUAUUUGUGUUUAUUUGGAGGAGGCCUCCGCUGGUAUAAGUAUAACUAAUUCAUCAAGCAGACGAUGAGGCAGAGCCAAGUCCAUCUCAAUCUCAACAUUUUGAUGUUGAUUAUGGUUUUGGAAUUGAUAAUCAAUCCAAAGAUGCUCCUCCGAAUUUGAAGGAACAUAAUACUACUACUGCUCAUGCUGCUCAUGCACAUGAGUGGAAUGAAUCAAUUGACAACUCGCCUAAAACAACUGCCAACCAGAACCAUGGAACUCGCCGGCCUAUCCCAAAGAGAAAGACUGUUUCUCCGCCGAAGAUCAACAAGAACGAAACUAGAAUGAGAGGAAAGAAAAAACGAUGGUCUUAACAUGAAGAAGAGAUCUUAAGGACUGCUGUUCAAUCGUUUGGUCCCAGGUGGAAGGACAUCUGGACUACCCACCAUGAUGAUUUUGGAGACAGGACUGCGGUAAGCAAAUGUUAUGUUGUCUUGUUUGUUUGCAAAUUGCAAUGCCAGCCAACUUAAUUCCUUGUCCAUCCGUGUCAAGGCAAUUGCUGUUGUUAAAAGUUGGAUUUUUCUUCACUCCCACUGGUCGAUUUGAAGGAUAAGUGGAGAAACAUGAACAAAAAUGUGCGUCAUUGAACUGAAGUAUAUAUGCAGCUUAGCUUUUUGUAUUUUGCUUGCUUGCAUAUAGUUAUAUGCUUUUGAUUGGUUCAA